rnacentral:rRNA from 1 species
UACGAAGGGGGCUAGCGUUGCUCGGAAUCACUGGGCGUAAAGCGCACGUAGGCGGAUUCUUAAGUCAGGGGUGAAAUCCUGGAGCUCAACUCCAGAACUGCCUUUAAUACUGCCAGUCUCGAGUCCGGAAGAGGUAAGUGGAACUCCUAGUGUAGAGGUGGAAUUCGUAGAUAUUAGGAAGAACACCAGUGGCGAAGGCGGCUUACUGGUCCGGUACUGACGCUGAGGUGCGAAAGCGUGGGGAGCAAACAGG